rnacentral:rRNA from 1 species
CUACGGGGUGCACCAGUGAGGAAUAUUGCACAAUGGGGGGAACCCUGAUGCAGCAACGCCGCGUGGAGGAUGACGCAUUUCGGUGUGUAAACUCCUUUUAUAUGUCAAGAAAAUGACGGUAGCAUAUGAAUAAGCACCGGCUAACUCCGUGCCAGCAGCCGCGGUAAUACGGGAGGGUGCAAGCGUUACUCGGAAUCACUGGGCGUAAAGGACGCGUAGGCGGGUUGGAAAGUCAGGUGUGAAAUCCUACAGCUUAACUGUAGAACUGCACUUGAAACUUCUAAUCUAGAGUAUGGGAGGGGGAGAUGGAAUUAGUGGUGUAGGGGUAAAAUCCGUAGAUAUCACUAGGAAUACCUAAAGCGAAGGCGAUCUCCUGGAACAUUACUGACGCUAAGGCGUGAAAGCGUGGGGAGCAAACAGGAUUAGAUACCCGUGUAGUC